rfam:Gossypium raimondii Chr09_contig_1556, whole genome shotgun sequence.
CAUGUCAGCGCGCUUUGCUGACGUGGACACAAAUCACGCUUUAGAGGACGCGAUUUGUUGCCAUGUCAGCAAAGUGCGCUGAUGUGG